rnacentral:rRNA from 1 species
AGAGUUUGAUCAUGGCUCAGAUUGAACGCUGGCGGCAGGCCUAACACAUGCAAGUCGAGCGGUAGCACAGAGAGCUUGCUCUCGGGUGACGAGCGGCGGACGGGUGAGUAAUGUCUGGGAAACUGCCUGAUGGAGGGGGAUAACUACUGGAAACGGUAGCUAAUACCGCAUAACGUCGCAAGACCAAAGUGGGGGACCUUCGGGCCUCAUGCCAUCAGAUGUGCCCAGAUGGGAUUAGCUAGUAGGUGGGGUAAUGGCUCACCUAGGCGACGAUCCCUAGCUGGUCUGAGAGGAUGACCAGCCACACUGGAACUGAGACACGGUCCAGACUCCUACGGGAGGCAGCAGUGGGGAAUAUUGCACAAUGGGCGCAAGCCUGAUGCAGCCAUGCCGCGUGUAUGAAGAAGGCCUUCGGGUUGUAAAGUACUUUCAGCGAGGAGGAAGGCGUUAAGGUUAAUAACCUUGGCGAUUGACGUUACUCGCAGAAGAAGCACCGGCUAACUCCGUGCCAGCAGCCGCGGUAAUACGGAGGGUGCAAGCGUUAAUCGGAAUUACUGGGCGUAAAGCGCACGCAGGCGGUCUGUCAAGUCGGAUGUGAAAUCCCCGGGCUCAACCUGGGAACUGCAUUCGAAACUGGCAGGCUAGAGUCUUGUAGAGGGGGGUAGAAUUCCAGGUGUAGCGGUGAAAUGCGUAGAGAUCUGGAGGAAUACCGGUGGCGAAGGCGGCCCCCUGGACAAAGACUGACGCUCAGGUGCGAAAGCGUGGGGAGCAAACAGGAUUAGAUACCCUGGUAGUCCACGCCGUAAACGAUGUCGACUUGGAGGUUGUGCCCUUGAGGCGUGGCUUCCGGAGCUAACGCGUUAAGUCGACCGCCUGGGGAGUACGGCCGCAAGGUUAAAACUCAAAUGAAUUGACGGGGGCCCGCACAAGCGGUGGAGCAUGUGGUUUAAUUCGAUGCAACGCGAAGAACCUUACCUACUCUUGACAUCCAGAGAACUUAGCAGAGAUGCUUUGGUGCCUUCGGGAACUCUGAGACAGGUGCUGCAUGGCUGUCGUCAGCUCGUGUUGUGAAAUGUUGGGUUAAGUCCCGCAACGAGCGCAACCCUUAUCCUUUGUUGCCAGCGAUUAGGUCGGGAACUCAAAGGAGACUGCCAGUGAUAAACUGGAGGAAGGUGGGGAUGACGUCAAGUCAUCAUGGCCCUUACGAGUAGGGCUACACACGUGCUACAAUGGCAUAUACAAAGAGAAGCGACCUCGCGAGAGCAAGCGGACCUCAUAAAGUAUGUCGUAGUCCGGAUUGGAGUCUGCAACUCGACUCCAUGAAGUCGGAAUCGCUAGUAAUCGUAGAUCAGAAUGCUACGGUGAAUACGUUCCCGGGCCUUGUACACACCGCCCGUCACACCAUGGGAGUGGGUUGCAAAAGAAGUAGGUAGCUUAACCUUCGGGAGGGCGCUUACCACUUUGUGAUUCAUGACUGGGGUGAAGUCGUAACAAGGUAACCGUAGGGGAACCUGCGGUUGGAUCACCU